rnacentral:tRNA from 1 species
CAGAACAUAGUUUAAUGAGAAUUUUGGCUUUGGGAGCCGAUGGCGGGGGUUAGAGCCCCCCUGUUCUGA